AUUGAACGCUGGCGGAAUGCUUUACACAUGCAAGUCGAGCGGCAGCACGGGGGUAACCCUGGUGGCGAGCGGCGAACGGGUGAGUAAUACAUCGGAACAUGCCCAGUCGUGGGGGAUAACACUUCGAAAGAAGUGCUAAUACCGCAUACGUCCUGAGGGAGAAAGCGGGGGAUCGCAAGACCUCGCGCGAUUGGAGUGGCCGAUGUCAGAUUAGCUAGUUGGUGGGGUAAAGGCCUACCAAGGCAACGAUCUGUAGCUGGUCUGAGAGGAUGAUCAGCCACAUUGGACCUGAAACACGCCCCGAACUCCUAGGGAGGCAGGCGUGGGGAAUUUUGGGACAAGGGGGCAACCCUGAUCCAGCCAUUCCGCGUGAGUGAAGAAGGCCUUCGGGUUGUAAAGCUCUUUCGGCAGGAACGAAACGGUGAGCUCUAACAUAGCUUGCUAAUGACGGUACCUGAAGAAGAAGCACCGGCUAACUACGUG
rnacentral:rRNA from 1 species